CGGGGAGCAGACUGAGGACAGAGGGGCCCGAGGAAGCGGGGAUCGGGCAGGCAGCCGUAGGUUCCUGGGAAUCUCUCUUCAUCUGGAGGGAGUCCCUGUCUCCUUGGACAUGGCUUAAACCUUUGAAGACAAAAGUCAAAAAGCAGUGCCUUGGACCACGUGUGGGGGAGCCUGAGCCAGGACCGGAGGGGACCCGGAGGAGACACUGUGCUGACCAACGCGGGCCCUGGUGCAGGCAUACUGCAGCAUGUGCACUCUGGCCUGAGAGUCGAGCUGACUUUCCAGCCCGGCUCAGAAGUGGUGACGCCCAUCAAGGUCAUCUCCCCGGCAGCAGCACAAACAGGGGAUGUGGAGGAGAAGGAGUCAGCUGUGUGUCCUCAGGAAGAGUG